rnacentral:rRNA from 1 species
GUAUGAAUGGCCACAUGAGAGCCCAACUGUCUCCUAUGACCAAUCAAUGAACCUGAUCUUCCAGUACAAAAGCCGGAAUAAACCCAUAAGACGAGAAGACCCUGUGGAGCUUAAAAUAUAAAUGCUACCCACAACUACAACCAAUAGGCCCACAAGACAAAUAUAGCACACAUUUUUAGUUGGGGCGACUGCGGAAUCAAACUUAACUUCCACGACACUAACCAUAAAUUUUACACCAGGUCAACAAACCAAUUCACCACUUUGACCCAGUAAUACUGAUCAACGAACCAAGUUACCCCAGGGAUAACAGCGCCAUCCUCUUUUAGAGCCCAUAUCGCCAAGAGGGUUUACGACCUCGAUGUUGGAUCAGGACCCCCAGGUGGUGCAACCGCUACCAACGGUUCGUUUG